rnacentral:rRNA from 1 species
GAUGAACGCUGGCGGCGUGCUUAACACAUGCAAGUCGAACGGAAAGGUCCUGCUUUUGUGGGGUGCUCGAGUGGCGAACGGGUGAGUAACACGUGAGUAACCUGCCCUUGACUUUGGGAUAACUUCAGGAAACUGGGGCUAAUACCGGAUAGGAGCUCCUGCUGCAUGGUGGGGGUUGGAAAGUUUCGGCGGUUGGGGAUGGACUCGCGGCUUAUCAGCUUGUUGGUGGGGUAGUGGCUUACCAAGGCUUCGACGGGUAGCCGGCCUGAGAGGGUGACCGGCCACAUGGGGACUGAGAGACGGACCAGACUCCUACGGGAGGCAACAGUGGGGAGUAUUGCACAGUGGGCGGAAGCCUGAUGCAGCAACGCCGCGUGCGUGAUGACGUCCUUCGGGUUGUAAACCGCUUUCUCCUGUGACGAAGCGUGAGUGACGGUAAUGAGUAAAGAAGCACCGGCUAACUACGUG